rnacentral:lncRNA from 1 species
AAUCUUCAAAAUCUAUCAUACCACUCCUUAUAUUCACAAAAGAGUAAUAUUAUGUCUUAAAUUAAUACCUUAACUUCAAAUGACUAUAACUUCUUCACAUUAAUUCCAAAGCCUCUAAUUUUUUUGUACAAAUUUUAGUCCAAAUCCUAAUCCUUAUAACUUUGGCUUCUAAUUUCCAAAUGCCUCAAAAAAUGAUAGUAGGUAUGAAAU